rnacentral:tRNA from 1 species
GGGGUUGUGGCUCAGUGGUAGAGUGCUUGCCUAGCAUGCAUGAGGCAGUGGGUUCAAUCCCA